rnacentral:ncRNA from 1 species
AUGACGGCAAGGGGAGAGACCGGCAAGGAAUGCCUUAUGACGGCGCCGAAGGAGCAAGCUCUUGAAAUAAGCGAAUCUCUCAGGCAAAAGAACUCUUGCUUGACG